AGUAAAUUAAGUUAAAUAAACUAUCAAACUUCAACCUUGAAAAUAUAAAAUGUUUUAUAUUUACUA
rnacentral:tRNA from 1 species